rnacentral:lncRNA from 1 species
ACACAUAGAAAAAAAAUUAAAUAAAGUUAAAAAGAACAAGGCAAUGGUGGCUCCUGCCUUUAAUCGCAGCAUUUAAGGGGCAGAAGCAGGCAGAUCUCUGUGAGUUCAAGGCCAGCCUGGUCUAGAGAGUGAGUUCCAGGACAGCCAGGGCUGUGUAUGUAGAAAGACCUCUCCCCUCCGCAACAACAAACAUCUAUAAGGAGUCAAGCCAGGCAUGGUAGGACAUGCUUGCACUCCCAGCUGUCAGAAGGCUGAGGUAGACUCUUGUCAACCAGGAAGGGUCUCGGGUGGUUGUGAGCCAUCACACCAAACUCUUCCUGUGGAAGAGAGGGCUGCCCACUCCUCCCUGAGGCAGAAGCAUGGGCUCUCUGUCCCCCUUUCCCAAGCAGGACUCCUUCUCAUUGACCCCCUAGCCCUCACUUCCUCCAACUCCCAGGAAACUGUGGCAGGUAUAAAGGGAGAGGGGAGGACUGCAAUAAACUGUGACAGUGACCCAACCAGUUUUAAGGAGGAUGUCUUCCCGGAUGCUGGGAAGAUACAUCUGCUGUGUUCACAGUCCAAGGUCCACCAGCCCUGGCUGCCUCAUCUUGUCCGGUGUCUCUGUCCGACACCAUGAGUUCAAGGCCAUACUGGCCAACUUAGGAAGACGAGAUUCAAACUGGAAAAGCUGGCUUCAACCUUAGAGAAAUCCUCCUGCCUCUGCCUCCCAAGAGCUGGGAUUAAAAUUAUUUGCCACUACACUGGGCCUCCUGUG